CUUGAUGUGCUUAAAAAUGAAUAAAAAGCCGCACCAACUGCAGAACAAAAGAAAUGGUUAAAAUGUGGUGCACAGCUAAAAAAUGAUUUGAUGACCUGUAAUGGUAAUCCAAUACUACCAAAAUCCCUACACAAAACAGCAGCAUUAGUGACACACGAACAUGCAUGAUUUGCCAAAAACAUAAUGCACAGGGAAACCUCAGACCAAGAAGAAGUAAUUUUCGCACACCACCUCAUCCUUUUCAUACCAUUCACAUGGAUUUUAUUGAGCUAAAUGAAAGCCAAGGUUCAAAAUACGCUCUAGUGAUUAUAGACGUGUUCUCAAAAUGGCCAGAAAUUUAUCCUGUGAAAAAGGCAGAUGCAAUUUCUGUAGCAAAAUGCCUAUGCAGCCAUUUUGUUCCAACAUAUGGCAUCCCCACUCUGAUAAGAUCAGACAAUGGGACACAUUUUGUUAAUGAAGUAAUCAGCAAGGUCUCUGAAGCACUAGGAUUCAGUAUCAAACACCACUGUGCUUACCAUCCUCAAAGUGCCGGACUAGUGGAAAGAACUAACGGCACGAUAAAACAGAGAAGAAACAGGGAGACUAUGGGCUGAAUGUAAAGGUCUAGUGAAAAUGUGGAUGAGAUUAACACAAGGCAGGCUCACAAAAAUUGACGCCAUUUGAAAUAAUUCAUGGAAGACCUUUUCCCACUACUAAUACUGAGUGAACCAGUAAACAAAUCAGCUAGAGAGACUA